rnacentral:misc_RNA from 1 species
AACGGUUGUUGGUACCGUUGG